GUGCCAGCAGCCGCGGUAAUACCGGCAGCCCGAGUGAUGGCCGAUCUUAUUGGGCCUAAAGCGUCCGUAGCUGGCCGCGCAAGUCCAUCGGGGAAUCCACCUGCUCAACAGGUGGGCGCCCGGUAGAAACUGCGUGGCUUGGGACCGGAAGGCGCGACGGGUACGUCCGGGGUAGGAGUGAAAUCCCGUAAUCCUGGACGGACCGCCGAUGGCGAAAGCACGUCGCGAGAACGGAUCCGACAGUGAGGGACGAAAGCCAGGGUCUCGAACCGG
rnacentral:rRNA from 1 species